rnacentral:rRNA from 1 species
UGGGGAAUUUUGGACAAUGGGGGAAACCCUGAUCCAGCCAUCCCGCGUGUGCGAUGAAGGCCUUCGGGUUGUAAAGCACUUUUGGCAGGAAAGAAACGUCGCGGGUUAAUACCCCGCGAAACUGACGGUACCUGCAGAAUAAGCACCGGCUAACUACGUGCCAGCAGCCGCGGUAAUACGUAGGGUGCAAGCGUUAAUCGGAAUUACUGGGCGUAAAGCGUGCGCAGGCGGUUCGGAAAGAAAGAUGUGAAAUCCCAGAGCUUAACUUUGGAACUGCAUUUUUAACUACCGGGCUAGAGUGUGUCAGAGGGAGGUGGAAUUCCGCGUGUAGCAGUGAAAUGCGUAGAUAUGCGGAGGAACACCGAUGGCGAAGGCAGCCUCCUGGGAUAACACUGACGCUCAUGCACGAAAGCGUGGGGAGCAAACGGGAUUAGAUACCCUGGUAGUCCACGCCCUAAACGAUGUCAACUAGCUGUUGGGGCCUUCGGGCCUUGGUAGCGCAGCUAACGCGUGAAGUUGACCGCCUGGGGAGUAC